CCCUUAGAUGUUCUGGGCCGCACGCGUGCUACACUGAGUGGAUCAGCGGGUCAGGUUGCGCGAAAGUGUUUCCUAAUCUUUAAAUCCGCUCGUGAUGGGGAUUGACGGUUGCAAUUUUCCGUCAUGAACGAGGAAUACCUUGUAAGCGCGGGUCAUCAUCCCGCGCUGAAUACGUCCCUGCCCUUUGUACACACCGCCCGUCGCUCCUACCGAUUGAGUGGUCCGGUGAGGCUUUGGGAUCUGGGCGGAAAGAGCGUUUCGCUGUUUCUGCCCGGAAAACUCAGUCGAACCUUAUCAUUUAGAGGGAGGAGAAGUCGUAACA
rnacentral:rRNA from 1 species